rnacentral:misc_RNA from 1 species
UUUCCGUAGGUGAACCUGCGGAAGGAUCAUUAACACGUACCCACGUUAAUAACCCGAGAAUUACAAGGGAUGCAUUCCUUAAUUUUCGAAUUAAUUAAUGCUCCUUUGCUUAAAGAAUUGAAAAAAUGACUUUUUCCCUUGACUUUCGGGUCAAAGGAUCAAAAGCUUUUUUCUUUUCUUGGCCUUCACUAAGAGAUCCUCGUGAUCUCUCAUUGAAGGUUAAGUUAAACCCCCUUUUUCUAACUUAAAGGCCGUCUCUUUGUAGACCGCUUUUAACCGAAUACUGUACAACUCUUAGCAACGGAUAUCUUGGUUCUGGCAUCGAUGAAGAACGCAGC